rnacentral:rRNA from 1 species
GACGAACGCUGGCGGCGUGCCUAAUACAUGCAAGUAGAACGCUGGAGGAGGAGCUUGCUUCUCCGGAUGAGUUGCGAAGGUGUGUGUAACGCGUAGGUAACCUGCCUGGUAGGGGGUGAUAACUAUUGGAAACGAUAGCUAAUACCGCAUAACAGUAGAUGUUGCAUGACAUUUGCUUAAAAGCUGCAUUUGCGUCGCGACCAGAUGGACCUGCGUUGUAUUAGCUAAGUGGUGGGGUAACGGCUCACCAAGGCGACGAUACCUAGCCGACCUGCAAGGGGGAGCGGCCCAACUGGGAAUGGAGACAGGGCCAGAAUCCUUAGGGAGGCAGGAGUAGGGGAUCUUCGGCAAUGGGGGGAAGGCUGAACGAACCACGCCGCGUGAGUGAAGAAGGUUUUCGGAUCGUAAAACUCUGUUGUGAGAGGAGAACGAGUAUGAGGGUGGAACGUUCACACUUUGACGGUACCUUAACAGAAAGGGACGGCUAACUACGUG